CUUCUAUCGAAAUUUCCCUUUGUUCUUCCUCUCCUUCCUUUGAUGGUACCUUCAAGGAACAGGUAGUGACUGACAAUUUGAAGUUUCAUUGGUAUCCUGCAGUUGUUUUCCAAAGAAU